rnacentral:rRNA from 1 species
CCUACGGGAGGCAGCAGUGAUGGAAUAUUGCACAAUGCAGCAAAGCCUGCAUCCAGCAAUACCGUUGUGUGAGGCCUAUGUGUAAAGCACUUUCACCCGUUUCAUCAGACGGUACCCAGAAAAAGCCCCGGCUAACUCCGUGCCAGCAGCCGCGGUAAUACGGAAGGGGCGAGCGUUGUUCGGAUUACUGGGCGUAAAGAGCGUGUAGGCGGCCUUGUCAAGUCCGGGUGAAAUCCCCGGGGCUUAACCUGGAACGUGCGUUGGAUACUGCGGAGCUUGAGAGCGGAAGGUAAAGCGGAAUUCCCAGUGUAGAGGUGAAAUUCGUAGAUAUUGGGAAAACACCAGUGGCGAAGGCGGCUACUGGCUCGUUUCUGACGCUGAGGCGCGAAAGCGUGGGGAGCGAACAGGAUUAGAUACCCUGGUAGUCCACGCCGUAAACGAUGUGUGCCUAACGUCGGGGGUUAGGCCUUCGGUGUCGCAGCUAACGCUAUUAAGCUACUACCGCCUGGGGGUACGGCCGCAAAUUAAAACUCAAAUGAAUUGACGG